rnacentral:piRNA from 1 species
GAGGAGGAACCUAGAAUAGUGGCCGG